rnacentral:lncRNA from 1 species
UCCUAACUUCUUCAUCUUAACUCGGUUAUUUUUCUGUCCUGCAUGAUUUCAGAAUUCGGUUAUAACUUCACGAUAAAUUUUUCAAUUGACUGACACGCAAUGCGUCUCGACACUAUAUUGAUCAAUUGAACAAAAUAAUCACUCCCAUGAUUUCAUAUGCAAUUUUUUGUCAGGCAAGUUCCUCUAUCUUCUCAUAGUAUGCUUUAAUUUCAGUUGUUUUAUGUAAAAUUUUAGAGAUUUUGUUUUGUAAACGAAAAGUAAUUAAGCAACUUCAAUUCAUGCACAGAAGUGGAGAUUUUUACAAGCAUACAAGUUCUUUCCCUUACUAUAUAUGUAAGCUACAGAUUUUAUUAUUGUUGCAGGCUGUUACCGAUGAUGAUAUAUAUAUAUAUAUAUAUAUAUAUAUAUAUAUAUAUAUAUAUAUAUAUAUAUAUAUAUAUAACAAGGAUCAGGUCCGGGAGUCUGGACCUAAUCGAGAGUCCGGAUCUGAUAAAAAAUGGACCAAAUUUUUUAUUUUUUUUGCUUUUAAAUUUAAAACUAAAAAAAAUAUUUAAUAUUUUAUGAAACUGAAAUUUUUUUCAUAAUACAAUGUUUUGGGCGUGAUUUGGAUACCUAUACCAAAAAAUAUAUGUACAGUCUGCACAGACUGUACAUACAUGUUUUGUUAUAUGUAUCCAAAUCACACCCAAAACACUGUAUUAUGUAAAAAUUCAAGUUCCAUAAUUUUUUAUUUAAUUAUUUUUAGUUGUUUUAAAAAAAAAGCAAAAAAAUAAAUAAAUCCGGAUUUUAGUCUGUUCCGGGAGUUCGGACCUGAUCCGGCCUCUCUAUAUAUAUAUAUNNNNNNNNNNNNNNNNNNNNNNNNNNNNNNNNNNNNNNNNNNNNNNNNNNNNNNNNNNNNNNNNNNNNNNNNNNNNNNNNNNNNNNNNNNNNNNNNNNNNUAUGGAAUCUGGUAAGUUGAUGAUUCAUGAUAGUAAUCUUUUGAGUUGAUAACUUGAUAUGUAUAUCAUAUACUUGCCAGUUCGCUAUAGCGACUAUAGAACAGAAAGUCGUCAUAGCAUAUAUAUAUAUAACACUAUCAGGGAGAUAUCUUGUUUUCUAUGAAUAUUAACUGUAGGCCUUUUUUACACAAGGAAAAGAAAAAGGAGUGGUAGCAAUACAAUGAUAAUAUAUGUAGAUGCAAGAGAUGCUAGUUAUUCCCUCUAUUCUGCCUUAAAUAUUUGACUGUUUUGACUCCUUCCACACCUAAGUUUUUAAAGAAAAUAUUCUCGACUGACACUGAGCUGGCUGCAUCUCUCCUAUAUACUCUUUUGUUAGACAUUCAUAGAAAUUGGUAUUACAAGCGGUUACACGGGUCAUAAUAAACCCCCUGCGAAAAAGAAUAGAUACAGAUGGUUAGAAAACAGCUCCUAUUCGAUGAGUUUUCGGUAGAAAAGGAUAAAGGGUCUAGUACUUACUCAAACAUAAUGAUUGCUUUGUCAAUAGAAGCUUAUGUCAGGACCGCUUCCACUUUAACUGGUUUUAAACUUCUUAUAGCUCUCCGUAUAUGCUCAAAUGCCAAGACAAGGAGGCCAAAGAGGUACAGAAGGAAAAUAUAUAGCUUUUCGACAAUGCCAAAUAUCAAAUUUGUAUUGCUUCCUCCCUCGGGAUUUCUUUUGUAUAAUGAUAUUCUUGUCACUAUCCACCCUACAAAGGAUGAGAGUUUAUUAUAAGCACAUGAUGGGAUUUGUUAAAGAUGAUCUUGAAAACUAAUACAAAAGCCAGUACAAAAGAUGAUGUUUAGAGGAUCUCUUGUUCCAAGUCACUGUAGUUCUCAUCUGGUCUGUUUAAACUUUCACCAUUCUGCUUCUGUUAUCAGAAUCACGAGUUUUAUGAAACAAGGGUUCCUUAAAUCAAAUGCCAUCAACAAGAACAAUACCUAGUAAAUCUCAUUACACGUCCGUUGGUAUGAGGGUAAGGUACGGUAGGGUUUUAUGGUCCACAAGACCAUUCCAUGUUUACUAGUGAGACCAACUGAGCUUUUCAAGUGAAAAACUCACAAAGGGAGAGAACAUGAGCUCAGGCAACUUCAUGCCAUAGCCUUUAGGAAAUCAGGGUUUUAGUAGGUGAUAUUGGUGGACCCACCUACUAACAUAUGAACAUUCUAAAAAGGAACCAAUGCGGAAAAAACACGUUCAUAUUCAGUUUGUG